rnacentral:misc_RNA from 1 species
UGUGUGCGACGCGGGUGUGU